UUAACUAUUAUAUAGUACUCAGACGACAUGUAUAAACAGAGUUUAGGGUCCUCUGGCGAGCACUCACCAGCGAGAAGCCGGUGGCCGGAGCGGCUCGCCAAAGCAACAAAGGUAUAAUUAACAUAGGGUUGGAGAGUCACCCUUGCGGGCGAUGUUCUCUGUAAUGAUCCCUCCGCAGGUUCACCUACGGAGA
rnacentral:misc_RNA from 1 species